UCCUCUGGUUCGUGCUCUGUGUGAGAAACAUGGAGUUCCCUAUCAGUGUUAAGACUUUGCAGAAGGCAUGACUGAUGUUGUCAGGUCACUGAAGAAGUCAGGGGAUCUGUGGCUGGAUGCAUAUCAUCAUAAAUAAAUCCCUUCCUGGCUCUGGACGGGAUUUAAAUCCAUCUCAGAWUAACUACCUGUGAACAGAGAGGACAUUUCCUAGAUGUUUGUGUUGAUAAUGAUCGCUGCAAACAUUAUUGUGAUAUAAUUGUUUUAAUCCUUGUCAGCAGUGAAUGGGGAUCCAUAGCAGAAAUAGAGGGUUUAUAUAGUAGGGCCAGGCAUUUAGAAAAAACUAAACACAGUUUUUAUUGACCUAUAUUUCCAGCAUUAUCCACUGGGUUUGAUGCAGGCAGAGAAUCCUAGGAAAUGCUCUGUAAUUGACACAAGUCUCAAUCAUUCCAGUCUGGUUGUCCAUUCGUUUUAACCAGGGGAGGCGCAGCAUACGAAUCUUAAUUUCACUAAGCCUAUUAUUUAGCAGGGAAAACUAUUUGUAGAUUAGUGAUUUUACACCUCGUUUUUCUCAAGCUGAUCGCCUCCAACAGACUCAAUCCCUGAUCACAGGAGGUUAUAUAAAUGGGGCAAUUAGGACACGUAAAGGGGAAAGACUAUGAAUCCAAGCAGAAAAUAUAAGUGCACAAUAAAAAUCUCUAUCGCUUGAAAUUCCACGCUGGGAUGCUCAUUGCAGACUACAAUAUAUUCUGCAAAACCUGCAAUUUAGCGUCACAUUUUAAAUGGAAAGACAGGAUAGACAGGAUAGACAGCCAUCUGAAAUAAUUAUGCCGUCUCAGAAGAAUGCUUCAACCUUGAAACGUUGUGGAGGAUUUAGUGAAACAGUCUCGUCUUUACAUAACAAGACAACAUCAUCAACAACAAUAUUUCACAACGUAUUCGUUGYCUGUUAUCAURUGGKUAUGAUAGGCAUUUUUGUAUCAGAAAAUGUAGAGGGUGAAAUAUAGACUAUUUUCAGAAUACUAAUGRCUYGCCUAUUUUCAUUUMCUAUAGAAAUAACACAAUUGAUMCAUCUCUGGUAAAACGGCAGUAUUUGGASAGAUKAACUUCUCCGCCUCCGCAAGGCGCAUGUAAAAGCGCAGCUACUCGGAGUGAUAUUCUAACACUGUUGAAUAGUUCACUGUCUGUAAAURCACUCUAUCAGCCAGAACAACUUUAACGUCUUCAUCCAGCUCUCAUACAAAAUGUGUGUCGGUGGAUUUGUCCGUUACUAUGGAGAUGCUUUCUGUUGUGUUUUUACCGGACUGCGGCUCCGUUCUUUACAUGUGUGUUAAUGAAUGCGCGCAAUUUGGGAUUGUCAACUUUUUCGAGAGAGAUGUUGGCGCUUGCAAAAGCCAUAUAUAWCCUCAUAAUUUAUUCUAUAGCAAAUUAAAAUGCCUACUUUUUUCUUUGAUGUGUUACAUUUUCUUAGAUUAAAAUACAUAUUAUUMCCAUUAUAAUGUUAAUACCAGGCAAUGAAUAAGUAAAAUAUUUAUGUCGAUAAUGUCCUUAAAAUAAGCUAAUACUGCCGAUGAGAAUAAUUGUUGGCAAUUAUUUCAUUUGAAGUCAAKCCACAUGGUUGGGAAUUGAUUUUGGACUAAUUGGAUAAUUAUGUUAGAUGAUCAUGGUGUGAGAAGGUGCUAUAUCGGCCACUUGAGGUCGUUUUAUCGAAAUGCGGGGUAGGAAAAACAACAACGGAAACGCCUGGCCCUAAUCAUUGGUAUCUAGAUAGACUAUUCCUCCUCAAACGGAAAAAUAUAUUGAUAUAUAUUUUAACAACAUGUAUGUACAUGUAUUUACGUAUAUGUAAAUUACAGAUAUCUAAAUAUAUGUUUACGCCUUAUAUUACAUAUAUUUAAAUAUAUCGACAUAUUACAAAAUUGGCCUUUUUCAUAUGACUACAAAUAUGUUUAUAUMUUUAAAUAUAUGGAAAUACAUUUUGAUAGCGUGCUGUGGUAGCUAGUAAAAUAAUUUCCCAAUUAUAUUUCAUAAAUAUAUGUUGCCAUAUUUUAAUGAAUGGAAAUGUUUGCUUUUUACCUUAUUACUGUAGUUAGGCUACAUUAAAAUCCAAUGCAUAAAACUA